AUGUGGUUUAAUUCGAUGAUACGCGAGGAACCUUACCUGGGCUCAAAUGUAUGUUGACGUAUUCUGAAAGGGAUACGUUCUUCGGACAAUAUACAAGGUGCUGCAUGGUUGUCGUCAGCUCGUGCCGUGAGGUGUCGGGGUUAAGUCCCAUAACGAGCGCAACCCUUGUCCUUAGUUACCAGCACGUUAUGGUGGGCACUCUAAGGAGACUGCCGGUGACAAACCGGAGGAAGGUGGGGAUGACGUCAAGUCAUCAUGGCCCUUACGGCCUGGGCUACACACGUGCUACAAUGGUCGGUACAAAGGGUUGCCAAGCCGCGAGGUGGAGCUAAUCCCAUAAAACCGAUCGUAGUCCGGAUCGCAGUCUGCAACUCGACUGCGUGAAGUCGGAAUCGCUAGUAAUCGUGAAUCAGAAUGUCACGGUGAAUACGUUCCCGGGCCUU
rnacentral:rRNA from 1 species